rnacentral:rRNA from 1 species
GAUCCUGGCUCAGGAUGAACGCUAGCGACAGGCUUAACACAUGCAAGUCGAGGGGCAGCACAGGUAGCAAUACCGGGUGGCGACCGGCGCACGGGUGAGUAACGCGUAUGCAACUUGCCUAUCAGAGGGGGAUAACCCGGCGAAAGUCGGGCUAAUACCGCAUGAAGCAGGGGCCCCGCAUGGGGAUAUUUGCUAAAGAUUCAUCGCUGAUAGAUAGGCAUGCGUUCCAUUAGG